CGGGUGCACUGAUCCGGCCGGGCCUUUCCCUCUGUGGAACCCCAUGGCCUUCACUGGCUGUGCGGGGGAAACAGGACUUUUACUGUGAAAAAAUUAGAGUGCUCCAGGCAGGCCUAUGCUCGAAUACAUUAGCAUGGAAUAAUAGAAUAGGACGCGUGGUUCUAUUUUGUUGGUUUCUAGGACCGCCGUAAUGAUUAAUAGGGACAGUCCGGGGGCAUCAGUAUUCAAUUGUCAGGAGGUGGAAAUUCUUGGAUCCUAUUGAAAACUAAACUACUGGCGAAAGCAUUUGCCCAGGGAUGGUUUUCAUUGGAUAAGGGAACGAAAGUUAAGGGGAUCGAAAAACAAUCCAAAUCCCGUCCUAAUCCUAACUAAUAAACAAGGCCACUAAGGGAUGGAACGAAGUUUAUUUCUUGAGCGCCUUCGGGACCCUUUUCAAAAAUCAAAGUGCUUGGGCUCCAGGGGGAGUAUGGUCGCAAGGCUGAAACUAAAGAAAUUGACGGAAGGGCACCACCAGGGGUGGAACUGCGGCUUAAUUUGACUCAACACGGGGAAACUCACCAGGUUAACUUCGACGUAGAUGGUUACGCACGUCUGGGCCUGGAAAAGUAAGGGGGGCUGCUGAUGUGGCCGUCUUGCUAGUGCCGACUUUACUCACGUUGGGGAAGCGUAUUGCCCCUCACUCAGGGCGUGGGAGCAGCCGUCUCGACGACGGCUGCGUGUCGGUGCGACACCAGCUGGUACAG
rnacentral:rRNA from 1 species